GGGGCAGGGCGGGUUUGGGUCGUGCCCACCCCACCUGUGCCGGUUCUUUUGGGGCAGGGCAGGUUUGGGUCGUGCCCACCCCACCUGUGCCGGUUGUUUUGGGGCAGGGCGGGUUUGGGUCGUGCCCACCCCACCCGUGCCCCCGCCGGGGCCGGGCUGACUCACGGAGCGCGGCUAUUUCCGUGCUCCCGCUGCAAUCCCUGCUCCUCCGGCUGCGCUGUCAGGCACCUCAGCACCCCCGCCGCCUCUAUUCUUAGCAGCUAAUAGCUGAAAUAAUUCCUUUUGUCCCCGCGCUGCUGGCUCCUGGGAUCGGGAGCGGAGCGAACCUGCCCCCGCAGCCGCUCCCGGGGGUCCCGGGGGUCUCGGUGCCAACCGGGAAUUCUGCUGCGGGCUGAGGAUCCCGAACACCCCGAUCCAACACAGCCACAACGCGGUGCUUUGAAGAAGCUGGGAUGCCAAUGCGGUGCCACCCCUCUGAAAAGGAUCCUGGCUCUUCCAGCUGGGUUUCUUAGACUUCACCGGAAUAAUUCCAGGUUCUCAGAGGGAGGGCCGGGUUUUCACCUGCGGGCUCCCAUUUCAGGGCUGCUCUGUGCCGUGCUGGGCUCGCACCGAGAAUGCAAAGUCUGCAUGCAAAUGUGGCUCCGCGGUGCCAGCACAGCCGUGCCAGCACAUCCCCGACAGCGCCGGGAACGAUCCCGCAGCUCUGGCAGCGCCGGCUUCUGACCCCAGCAGCAGCUGCCCCACACAAUUCCCCUGAUCCACGUCCCGAGGGGCCCUGUGAACCCCCCACCCUGCUCCUCGUGGGACUGGCAGCUGUGCACACCCAAACAGAGCCACAGAAUCGGCCUUAAAGCUGUUUGGAAAGGGGGUUAUUGCCCUUGAUGUGCCUGCUGCUCUUCCUCCUGCUGCUUGGGACCCCAGGGAGAGCAGCAGAGUGUUCCAAAUGGAACAGGGUGCCCAGAGCAGCUGUGGCUGCCCCUGGAUCCCUGGCAGUGCCCAAGGCCAGGCUGGACAUUGGGGUUUGGAGCACCCUGGGACAGUGGGAGGUGGCCCUGCCAUGGCAGGGGUGGCACUGGAGCUUUAAGGUCCCUUCCAACCCAAACCAUUCUGUGAUUCUGCUGGACUGGUAAAGAAAGGACUCACUGACCAUUUCUCUGGAAUUCACUAAAGAAGCUUGUCUGGAAAACAAUAAACCUUUUGGAAAAAAACGAGACCUGAAUGUUUGCUGUGACUGUCCCUCACUGAGGCUGUGCUCUGUAAGGAUGAAACAUCACUGACAAAUCCAACACGAGCUACCCCAAACCAGCACUUAAAAACUGACUGUUCUGCAUUUUAAAGCAGCUUUUAAGCCUCUGGGUUGGUAAAGUGAGGAAACUUUUCCACUGCCCUGUCCACCUUUGCCCGAUUCUUCGCUCCUCCCGUUCGUGCCCGGCCACUCCCGCGGGAUGUGCCGAGCCUCCCCUGCCGUGGCUGCCGAGGUCGAGGGGUUACAGAUUUACAGCUGCCCAGACUUGCUGCAGCCCGGGCAGGAAUUCACUUGGCAUAAACGAGGCCUUUGGAUUAUUUAUCUCAGCCCUUCAGUUAAACAGGAACAUGCCCUGAUUUUUAACAAUCGUGCUUCCUGCGCCGGGGGAAGGUGUGGCCGAUGGCAUUUAAACCCAAACCUGAGCCAAGGCUUCCCCAGCAGGAAGCUGGGAGUGCAGGCAGGACCACGAGGGUUUCCUCCAGCACUCAAAACACAAGGGCCUCCCUCAGGUUAUUUUAUCACCCCCAGUUGCAAUAAUGAUGUGCACGAAGGUGAGAUUUGGGGAGUGGCAGCAGAAAAUCGCACGGGAGAACUGAGGAUGAACCUUUAGGUACAGCCUGGCACAGAAGCAGGGCAAGCCCAAACCUCCUCUGGAAGCUGAGGAAUAACUCCCUGAUCCUUUUGUGGUGCUGAGAGAACUGUCAAGGGCAGCCUGGAGGGUAAAUCCCCUCCCUCCCUCCCCAAAAAAUGGCAUUUUCCCCAAACAUCCAGCCUGAACCAACCCAGUUGCAAGUCCUGGAAUCUUGUUACAAUGUUCAGAACUAUAAAAACUCUUUAUUUUAUUAAUCAGCACUGUAAGCACUCAGGGCCCAGCUGUGAUCAGCCAUGGGGUCACCCCCAGUUUUGGAAGAGAUUCCUACCCUGCCAUUCUGACAGUGACACUGAUCUCCCCCGUCCCAGACCACAGCCAUGGAUUAUUCCCAUUUUCCAAGCUUGCUUUCUAGCCCAGGACUUUGCACCCUCAUGGGCAGUUCUUACAAAACCAAAGCUCGGCCUCCCACUUUUAAAGUCUGGAAGGAAAAGAAAAAAAAAAGCUAAAAAAAAAAAAAAAAACCCAAAAAAACCCAAAAAAACCUAAAACCAGUAGUAACACAUGGAAAUGGGCUCCAGUUAAACCAGAAAAGCAGCCUAGGUUUUUAUAGUGGAAUGUUGAAGAUGUUCUAACCAGAAAAUGCUGAAUCCUGCCCAAGAGUGUCAGAAAAUGACUUUAUGUUUUUAGGCCUCAUCACUCAGUUCCAAGGGCUGAAGUUUUCCAUUGCCCCAAGAUCUCUUACACAGUUGAUUGUUCCCCUGAGCACAGCUCUGAGCUCUUCUUGGGAGCCUGAGUGCCACCAGCAAGUACCUGGAGCCAGGUAAAGACAGAAACAUUCCAGGGCUGAUGAUUUUCAAAGCAAAACAAACCAUAAAAUAAACACCCCAUUUCCCCUGAAAGCAACCAGAAAGAGUAAUUUGAAAUAAACCAAACUCGGUUUCAUCUUCUUAACGCGCCUCAGGCCUGACCAAAGUGGUGUGAGCUGAAAGCACCACUGAAGUGCCCUGUUUCUGAAUUUCAUCUCACUCUGGAGUUUCAUGUGGCUCUGUCACAUCCGUGGAUCUCCAGGUGGCCUCUGCUGCCUGCACAGCGUGGUGCAAAGCACUGGGGAAAAGUGGCAACACCAAAAAUCCGCCCUGGCCCCGGGUGCUGGGGCUCCUGAGAGAAUGGGGGUGACUGAAAGCAGCAGAGGCAGCUCCAGCCUCAGCAAAGCCCAGCCUGCUUCGGGGGAUGACUCAUUCCAGGAGCCUGAGCUCGCUCCCAGUCAUUAAGGAAGGAGUUAAUCCCUGCAGCUUUGGCCACAAAGUGGAUGUGUAAGGCCUGGAGUCCCAUGGGCUCGAUUGCAUAAGAAACCAUGUAUUGUGGCAUUCAGUUGAUCAUGCACUACUUCUUCUGGUCACAUGGAGGCUUGAUUUCCCCUUGCAUCAGCUACGACAGACUUUUCACAUUUCUCGUACUGGUGUCUGUUCAGUUCAGUGGGGUCACCCCCUUCACCCCACGGCAGAGCCUGUGCUGCUCCCCCAGCCCUGACCCACGGGAUCUCACCCCCGUUUCUGCAGGAUCCUGGCAGAGGAACCGGGCGCUUGUAAUUUUUCUCAUUUGUGUCUGUGCGUAACAGGUGUCAUUUUCAGUGUAGUACAGACAAAUCCCAAAAUAGCUCAGGCUCUUCAGACGCUGCGAGGAGAGAAAACCGUGGUUACUUCAGCUCUGGUUGUAGUGAACACCCAACGCUCGCAGCCGGCUCUGAAGUCGGAAUUAAAAUGGCAGACGGAGGAGUGGAGCAGGGAUCUGUCUGCAUUCCCUGUUUCCUGAAGGACUGCUCCUCACUGCUCUGAGUGUGCACAUCCCUCACAGUGCUGCCUUCCCCAGGAGCUGCACCUAGCACGGAUCCUCCUCCACACUCCCAGAGCUCUGCCUCCCCUGCCCAGUGCGGGGCUGGCCGGAGGCACCAGAGUUACUCCAGGGAUUUGGGGGGCAGAGGCGAGCAGGGAGAGUGCAGCUGCAAAAGGCUCCUUGCCUGGGGAUGGUGCCUGCUGUGCUGAAAUGCAGAGCUGCCUGUGGACUGUCUUUGUCGGGGAUUAUUGGAUUCUGGUGACUCCAGGAGCACAGUUAUUAGCUCCCCUGCCUACGCCGAGCGUUUUGAAUCUGUGUGUGUGAUAACACUUAUUAAUACUGCUCAGAUUAAGAAGAUCCUAUGGCUUUCCAGCACUUUCAGCACCUUAUCUCACACCACCCAUCUGCCCAGCAGCAGAACCACGCUCAGAUCAGUGUGUUGUGGCCAGCAGAGCAGGGCCUUGUGGGGUCAGCAGCAGCCUCAUGCCCAGAAGCCCUGCAUUUGUUCACAGCAGCAGCUCCUCCUAAGGUGCCUUGUGCUUCAGGGGAUCUGCCUGCUGAGGAUUUGCAGGACGUGGGCCUAAAAGAUUUUAUUUCAGGAAGUCAAGCAGUGGUUCCUGUCACCGAAACAGUUAAUCAGAAAGCACCAACUCUCUACUGCAACGUGUGUGUGCGUGCACGUGUUUUUGUUUUUUAGAGCCAGCAAGAUUUGCUUUGGUUUUUUUUAAAGCAGAAAACACCAAAAAAGUUGGCUGUGGUUUCAGCUGCUAUCACUUGAGAUUUGUACUGCUGACUACCAAUCCUAAAAGAGUUAACCUGGUAAGUAUGACUCAGAAGCAGAGAAGGAGAUGCGAGGCUGAGAGCCGGGGAGGAAGCGCAGAAACAGAGGUGAGGAACAGAAGAAUUGCCAAAAAAAGGUGCAGAGUCCAGGAGCGACGCUCCCUCCGGUCUGCCUGGCCCUGGCACCGCUGGCACGGGCUCCCUGGAAAGCUGCAGUUCCGCUCUUAUAACACAAGGAGCAGGCUGGAGAAUUUAGAGCUGCGUCACAGAGCUCAGCGAGAGAGUGAGAGAGCAAGCUCCGUCGAUAGGUCUACCAGCAACAGCCCUGCUGCAGCAAGAGGGGAGAGAGGCAGCAAGAGAGGCACAGAGGGCUCCAGGAAGAGAAGUGGCACCAACAGCACGGACUGGGCUCCUGCCACCAUCCACUGCCACUUGCAGCCCGUCCUGGGGCUCGCCUGGCGUAGGAGGCUUCGCCCAUUGACGAUGCUGGAGACCCGGCGCGCUUAAUCCCGCGGGGAGGGAGAGUGGGCAGACACCGAAAGGGUUAACGGGAAGGAAAUUUCUGGAACCUUCUCUUCUGCGGCGCUCCAGAGCGAGCGCAGGGCUGCGCAGAUGGUGCACGGGCACGGCUCCUCGGUCCGGUUCGCCUCCCUCACCGACCAGCAAUGAAGAUGGCAGCUCUGCCUGGAAGUGCUGAGGACACAGCCAGCCUUGAGCUUGGUCCUUCUGGCUGAGGAAGUCUCCUGAUUAUGCAGUGGAGUGGUCACCACUUGUACUGUCACACCCCUUGUCCUGCACCUGGCCUUGGGCUGAUUCAUUCCUUCACUGGCAGGAUGAUGCAUCAAGCUCAGAUUCUCAGCAUGUAAAACAGGGAUUAUUUUCUCCAGGGGAGACCAGAGCCUGAUGAACCACGAGUUUCACCCCGUGAUGUGAAAAUGGAGGAAAAAAUUCGUGAUGCACACUGAGAUGUGUUUUGCUUUCUGUAAAAGCCCUGGAACUGCCUUUCUAUAGAAGGUGUAGUUUGUGAAAAAUCAGGUCUGUGACAUCCAGGCUUGCCUUGUUCCUGCUCACUGAAGGUCUCAGGGUAGAGAGGAAGUUCCCUUUCACAGGGAAGGCAGGGAUUCCCUUUUUGCCUUUGUGUCCUAUGGAAUGUAUAAAGCAGUGUGAAGUCCAUGAAAAGCUUUGAGUUGUUCCUCUGAAAGAAGCUACAGAACAGCACUGCCACUAAAACACCUGAAAAACCACAGAAUGAUAUUGUACUUUCCCUACUAUUAUUUACUGAAAGUCCAGACCUCUGUGACCAAGCCAAGGACAGGUGACAGUGCAGGGGCUGGGAUGGAAUUCCCAGAGCAGCUGUGGCUGCCCCAUCCCUGGCAGUGUCCAAGGCCAGGCUGGACACCCUGGGCCAGGGGAAGUGUCCUUGCCAUGGCAAAGGGGGCACUGGGUGAGCUUUAAGGUCCCUUCCAACCCAAACCAUCCUGUGCUCCUGUUUUCCUGCCCCUGUGCACAUCCCCAGCAGGGUGCUGUGGAUCACAGAAUCCUGAGCUGCUCCUUUCCCCUGCCCAGACACACUGGGAGCCUUGGAAAGGAGCACAGACAGAUGAACCCUUCCCAAAACAUGCACCUGCACCCUGCCAAGAAGGGCUGACACCUUCUGGGGAGCUUGUGAAGGCAACAGGACAAACUCCAGGUAGCCUGGAGGAGGAGCAGCAGCAUCUUAAUUAUGCUGAAGUGAAACCUGGUUUUAUCAAAACUAUAAAUAAUAAAUGAGCCAUUGGUCUUCAUCUGCUGCAUGGUAUUUCUGGCAAGGCUGGUCUCCUUUGCAGAGGGGAAGAUGUGCAGAGGUUUUCAGUCCUUCUAAGUCUCAUACUUUGACACAAGUUCCCAUUUUCAGCAGCACAGAAUUAAGUGACAUUUCCUCCAACUAUUUUUCAAAACCCUAAUGAAGAUUUCUUUGUAAUGCUUUCUACUGAGGCAAGGAAAAAGCAAAGCAAAGUUCACUGGGAGCCUGUUUCUCAGAGCUGCUGCUGUGAUUCUGUCUGUGCUGCACCUGCCUCUCCUCAGCAGCAGCUCCUGGUGCAGCUUUUCAGGAGUAAAUCUCACCUGAAAAUAGAGGGUGUCUCAUAAAUAACUGUGCCAGCAGGCAGGCACUGGGGAGGGAACCUGCUUUCCACUUGUCUUUCACCCUGUUGCCCCAGAUAAUGGAUUUAGAAACAACAGCAAAUAUCCAGGCACAGGAAUCUAGUGCAGUUAUUUCCCCUUCCUCCAGCACUCUUUCUUGGAAGGACAAGCUCUUGUCUCUGAGCUUUGCCCCUGCUGCCUGGGAGUGUGCAUUAGGAUGGAGCAGAUUUUUGGACGUGGUUACAGCAGGAAUACACAGAGUUGCCAAAAACCCAGGGCAUCAAUAAGUGAAACUGCUGCCUCCAGUUGUGCUUUGUUCCAUUUCACAUUGGCCUCUGCUCCAGCACAGGUCAGACACUUAUCCAAGGGUUGAUAGCUCCUGAAUUAUGCAUGUGUGGAGCAGCUCUGAGCUUCUCAACACCCCUCUACUCCCUCUGCUCUGAGCUCUGGACACUGCAGGUUAAGUGCACUGCUCAGCCUGCUGCAGUUCCAGGAACCAUCAGCCGCUCAUUUCCACACUCUCCUUCCUCAACAACUUCCCCUGAACCAUUUACAGUUCCAUUUAUCAAUGCUCUCCUUUUGUUCUGACCCACACUCUAAGUACUUUCAACCCAAUUUAUUUUCAUUCUGCCUGCAGAAUUCAGAAGUUGUCUCACAAAAAUCUGCAAGUCCUUGCUCAUUUAAAGCCCAGGAACUGCUGUGGAGGAAGUUCCAUCAGGACACUCACAUUUCCUUUCCCUGUCACAAAAAGCACCUGAUCUGUCCUGUACUGUCUGAUCAGUGAAUGACAGAAAGCCAGAAUUGUCUCUGUCUUGGACAGAAUGAGGUUCAUACCUGGUUUCAUCUGCAGUGAAAUGAAAAAAGUGUUUCUGUACCACACAAACUUCCCACACUCACCCCAUCAGCAUUGUGCUCUGCAAUAGCAAGAAAUAAAACCUUGGUCAUCACUUGCUGGGAAGAAUUUGAGUGCAUUCCAUCUGGCUAGGGCAGGGAACAACACUCACUGCCAGGCUGGGGGUUUUUCUUCACCACAUAUUUAAUUUCUCCUCAACCAUCCAUAAGAUGCUACAAAAAAAUAUCCAUAAAGUAGCUAAGGCCAAGGUAACUGUCUUGCUGUCUAAUAAAAUUAAAUAAAUGAAUUUUUCUCUAGGUACGGUGGAGAUGAAGGAUUUUCUCCCUCAGCCUGCAGCCAUGCACAAGAUGUGUCUUCCUCUGGAAGCUGGUUUCACAUGGUGGCUUAGAUUUUCCCACUUUGUAUCUAGCACCAUUUGAAAUCAGUGUUCUAGGAGCAAGAAUUACAGCGUGGGAGGAGACCAAGCACCUGCUCACUUCAACAGCAUCCUCUGCUCCUCACAUCAGCCCCUUUUCCAAAGGUUUUUUUUUUGCCAGCCAUCCACUUUGUAACAUCAUCUGAUUUUAGACACUUCUCCAACCACUGUAUGCACCCUCCCAAGCCAGGGCCACAGCAGCACAGCCUCGUGCUCGUGUACUUCUGCUCAAUAAACAAUGGAUAUGA